CCGACACAUGCUUCCAUAGAUGAAUUCCUCAGCCACAUCGAACUCCCUCACUUGACACAAGCACAAAAAGAAGCACUCGACCGACCAUUCACAGACGACGAGGUCGCAAAAACUAUUGCAUCCCUCCCGAAACAUAAGGCCCCAGGUCCAGACGGAUUCUCAAACUACUACUACAUUAAACUAGCAAAGACUCUAACACCUUUCCUAACCACACUUUUUAAUAACAUUAAAUCGACAGGGACCAUGCCAAAAGAAAUGCUUGAAGCGCAUAUUAUCACACUUCCCAAACCGGGCAAACCGCCCACCAAAUGCGAGAAUUUAAGACCAAUCUCGCUUCUUAAUGCGGAUGCUAAGCUUUACGCUAAACUACUCGCAUCCCGCAUGAAACCCCUCCUCACGGACUUAGUAUCAGUAGAACAAGCUGGGUUUGUUCCCGGACGACAAGUGGGAGACAACACACGUCACUGUUUGAACCUGGUAAAUUGGGCGGGGACAAGCAACCAACAUGGGGUGAUCUUGG